UCAAGUUAUUAAGGGUGCAGGGCGAAUGCCUUGGCACUAGGAGCCGAUGAAGGACGUGAUAAGCUGCGAUAAGCUUCGGGGAGUUGCACGUAAACUUUGAUCCGAAGAUUUCCGAAUGAGGAAACUCACUUAGAGUAAUGUCUAAGUAUCGUUAAGUGAAUACAUAGCUUAGCGAGGGGAACCCGGGGAACUGAAACAUCUAAGUACCCGGAGGAAGAGAAAGAAAUUCGAUUCCGUAAGUAGCGGCGAGCGAACGCGGAACAGGCCAAACCAGUGAAGUUUUCUUCGCUGGGGUUGCGGACAUAUCAUAACGAAGAGGUAUCGUAGAAGAAGAGAGUUGGAAAGCUCCGCCACAGAUGGUAACAGCCCAGUAUUUUAAACGAGAAGACUUUAGAUAUGAUCCAGAGUACCACGGGACACGUGAAACCCUGUGGGAAGCAGGAGGGACCAUCCUCCAAGCCUAAAUACUACCUAGUGACCGAUAGCGCAUAGUACCGUGAGGGAAAGGUGAAAAGAACCCCGGGAGGGGAGUGAAAGAGAACCUGAAACCCUGCACUUACAAGCUGUAGGAGCACAUUAUUUGUGUGACUGCGUACUUUUUGUAGAACGGGCCAACGAGUUACGUUGUGUAGCAAGGUUAAGCACUUAAGGUGUGGAGCCGUAGCGAAAGCGAGUCUUAAAUGGGCGUCCAGUUACCCGACGUAGACCCGAAACCAGGCGACCUAUCCAUGAGCAGGUUGAAGCGAAAGUAAAAUUUCGUGGAGGACCGAACCCACGUACGUUGAAAAGUGCGGGGAUGACUUGUGGAUAGCGGAGAAAUUCCAAUCGAACCUGGAGAUAGCUGGUUCUCCCCGAAAUAGCUUUAGGGCUAGCCUCAAGCUUAGAGAAACGGAGGUAGAGCACUGAAUGUCCUAGGGGGUAUUGCACUUACCGAAGACUAUCAAACUCCGAAUGCCGUUUUCUUUUACUUGGGAGUCAGACUAUGGGUGAUAAGAUUCAUAGUCAAAAGGGCAACAGCCCAGAUCGUCAGCUAAGGUCCCUAAAUGUAAGUUAAGUGGUAAAGGAUGUGGAAUUGCACAGACAACCAGGAUGUUGGCUUAGAAGCAGCCACUCAUUUAAAGAGUGCGUAAUAGCUCACUGGUCGAGUGAUCCUGCGCCGAAAAUUUCCGGGGCUAAAACGUACUACCGAAGCUACGGCAUCAUUUAUGAUGGGUAGGGGAGCUUCGUAUGCAGGCUGAAGCAUGACCGUAAGGACAUGUGGACUGCAUAGAAGUGAGAAUGUUGGCAUGAGUAGCGAGAUGUGGGUGAGAAUCCCACAGGCCGUAAACCCAAGGUUUCCAGGGGAAGGUUCGUCCGCCCUGGGUUAGUCAGGACCUAAGCCGAGGCCGAAAGGCGUAGGCGAUGGACAACAGGUUGAUAUUCCUGUACCACCAAUAACCGUUUGAGAAAUGGGAUGACACAGUAGGAUAAGCUAACCGCACUGUUGGUUAUGUGCGGGCAAGUAUUGAGGCAGUUCCGAUAGGCAAAUCCGUCGGAAUAAUGCUGGGGUACGAUGCGGAGCGAAAUUUAGUAGCGAAGUAGCUGAUUUCACACUGUCGAGAAAAGUCUCUAUCGAGGUUAAAGGUGCCUGUACCGCAAACCGACACAGGUGGGUGAGGAGAGUAUCCUAAGGCCAGCCAGAGAACUGUUGUUAAGGAACUCGGCAAAAUGACCCCGUAACUUAGGGAGAAGGGGUGCCUUCGAAAGAAGGCCGCAGAGAAUAGGCCCAAGCGACUGUUUACCAAAAACAUAGGUUUCUGCUAAGUCGCAAGACGAUGUAUAGGAGCUGACGCCUGCCCGGUGCUGGAAGGUUAAGGGGAUCUGUUAGAGCAAUCGAAGCAGUGAACUUAAGCCCCAGUAAACGGCGGCCGUAACUAUAACGGUCCUAAGGUAGCGAAAUUCCUUGUCGGGUAAGUUCC
rnacentral:rRNA from 1 species